CUUUGAGUAGUUUCAUAUUGUGACCGACCCAGCGCCAUCUUGUCACAUUUGCGACGUACAUCUGAUGAUCCAGAACAUGACGAGGACGAACAGGAAAAACAAUUAGGAAUAUAAUAUUCGGCGGACAAGAUAAAAGGAGUUUCAGGCCAAACGAGCUUACAUUGAUUGUGGAGCCAAAAGAGGAGAUACCAGAGCUUCAUCCAUCGUGGAUGUUUAUCCAGAGAACUGCAUCAUGUGCCUAGAGAAAUGCAUAGAGUCCUUGCUCCCCACUAUGAAUUCAUUGAGGAAGUCAGAAUGUGAUGGGAGGAUUGCUGCGCCAGGGUCAAUUUACAGAGUAUGAAAGAAGGCAAUAAAGCCACCAAUCAACAGGGAUAAAAUGGAAGCCAACUUUGCUCUGGUGAAGGCCCUUCCCAUUCUCUUUCCCCCAGUGGCACCUCCAUCAAAGAAACUGGGGUGUGCUAGUGAAGCUUUACUGCAUGUUCAGGAGUCAACAGAAGAUCCAAACGUCUUCAUCCAGAAGAGAGGCCUGUCAAGUCCAGUCUUGGUGUUCGAUGGCAGCAGAUGCAUCGUUGCUAUUGGUUUGAUGCCAGUGACGUUUGAAAAAGAAAAGCUUCACGAGGGUCUGAUUUUCUAAAUGGCAUAUUAUUACACACUACAUCUGACCUACACAAAUUGCGUGGCCACUUAUUUGUCAUUCAGACAGAGAUCCUUCAGGAUACAAUUCACAAGUGGGACAUCACCACCACAUGAAAGAGCAUUAAAGUAAAGAAUUUGUUGGAAGAUAAACUGUUUUUGCAGUUCAAUGUUU